GUUGGACACAUUGGACCCGAAGGGGGGCGAUCUAAUCAUGAGCAAGCUGAAGCUAGAGUACAAUCUAGUGGAGGGCUAUAGCGGUGAUUGUGGCAAAAAUCUCGUGUGACUUGUGAUUAGGAGUGAAAGGCUAAUCAAGCUCUCGAAUAGCUGGUUUUUUGUGAAAUUUAUUAAGGUAAAGCGAUUAGCAGAACUACUUUUUGGUAGAGUCACGUGCUGUGGGGCGAGGGGCGCUGAGCUUUUCAAACCAUGGCAAACUCCGAAGAAAAAAGUAAGAACAAUGUUAGUCAGUCAGACUAUGGGCGCCAAGGUUCGUAGUCAAGAGGGAAACAGCCCAGAUUAGCAGAUAAGGCUUCUAAGUGAUAACCCAGUGGAAAAAGCAUUAUUAGAGCACAGAUACCCGAGAGAUGGUCUUGGAAGCAGACACACUCUAUAGAAAGCGUAUUAGCUCAUCGGUGAAGCUCUAAUGAGCCAUACAUAAGACGGAGCUUAAGUUAUCCGCCGAAUCUCUAAACAAAAAUACA
rnacentral:rRNA from 1 species